rnacentral:lncRNA from 1 species
GGGGGAGCUCGAGAGGAGGAGCGGGAGGAGCGGGGGCGGGCGGAGCGCAGUGCCGCCGGCGACAGCGGCGGCGGCGGCGAGGAAGGAGGCGGCGGGCCCGGCGGGCGGCGAGCAGGGCAGCGGGCAGGAGCCGCAGCCUCGGGGUCGCGGGCCGGCGGGAGGCGCAGCCGGGCGGCGGAGUAUCUCGCAUCUGCAUCGGCGCAGGAAAGUAAAGGAAGAACACAGACAGAGGAUAGAUGGAAGAGCAACUGGGAGCCAGAACAACUGAGCAACCAGCAAGAAACAAGCAGACUUUCAUCCUGAGAGAAGCAGCACUAUUAAGUGGGCAGCACGUCUCUAAUGGUUUUCACUCUAACCGACCCCACCAAUGGCCAGCAUGACAGACAGUAAGAACACACAACCUAGAUCUCCUAUCUUGAAAGGCACCUCAAGGCCAAUGAAAACUCCUGACCCCAGACCACAGUGUGCCUCUCUUGAGGCUGCCCUGUUCUGAGUGUGGGCUUCUUCACGUCUGCCCAAUAAGCCUUUCUAAUGCUUCUUUUUUUAAAACAUUAAUUUUAUUGGUACAUUUAAGGUAUACAAUAUAAUGACAUUCAUCAUUGGAAAUUUUCACCUUUACAUAAUCCAUCUUGUUUCUUAUUUUUCCCCCUUCCCCUGCCCUCCCUUCAACCCCUCCCCCUCACUAUCUACAAAGACUUUGUUUCCUUUUUUUCGUUUUCUCAUAUUAAUUCCAUUCCCUUCUUUCCUUUCCCCUACUCCUCCCUCUUCCCCUUCCCCUUUGCCCCUUUUCUUCCUAUUUCACAUUAUCUAUUAUACCUUUUAGUCCUUAUUUACACUUUCAGUUUCUCACACUAGAGAAACUAUUUGGUAUUUACACAUGUGUGUCCUGUUUAUUUCAUUUAAGAGGAUGGCCUCAAUGUGCAUUCAUUUAGCUAUAAAUGUCUCUAUUUUCUUAUUUUUUAUGGCUGAGUAGUGCUCCAUUUUAUUUUAAAAACCCCACAUUUUCUUUAUCCAGUCUCCAGUUGAUGGGGAAUUGGGCUGUUUCCAAGUUUUAGCUAUUACAAAUUGUGCUGCUAUGAACAUGGGUGCCCAUAUAUCGCUGUGGUAUGAUUCUUUUAAUUCUUUUUUUGCUUAAAUUCUUUUAUUGGUACAUUUUAGGUAUACAAUAUGUUUACAUUUAUCAUUGGGUGCUUGUACCUGUACAUGAUAUAUCUUGGUUCUUAUUUUUUCCCCAUUACCUGUGCACCCUUCACCCCCUCCACCCUUCCCUAUUUACAUAGACUUUGUUUCCAUUUCUCAUAAUUUUUCCUUUCCUCUACCCCGCCCACUUCCCCUACACCUUUGGACUUUUUCUUCCUAUUUCAAAUUAUCAAUUAUUCAUUUUAAUCCUUAUUUACACUUUCAGUUUCUCACACUAGAGAAACUACUCGGUAUUUACACAUGUGUGUCCUAUUUAUUUCACUUAAGAGUAUGGCCUCAAUAUGCAUCCAUUUAGCUCUAAAUGUCUGUAGUUUCUCAUUCUUUAUGGCUGAGUAGUACUCCAUUUUAUUUAAAAACCACAUCUUCUUUAUCCAGUUUCCAGUUGAUAG